rnacentral:rRNA from 1 species
UACGUAGGGGGCAAGCGUUGUCCGGAUUUAUUGGGCGUAAAGAGCUCGUAGGUGGCUUAGUAAGUCGGGUGUGAAACCUCCAGGCUCAACCUGGAGACGCCACCCGAUACUGCUAUAGCUUGAGUCCGGUAGGGGAGCGUGGAAUUCCUGGUGUAGCGGUGAAAUGCGCAGAUAUCAGGAGGAACACCAGCGGCGAAGGCGGCGCUCUGGGCCGGUACUGACACUGAGGAGCGAAAGCGUGGGGAGCAAACAGG